rnacentral:lncRNA from 1 species
CAGGUGGUGGAACCACUGAUCUAAAUCCCUGGCAGAGUCUUUGAUAGUUUUGUUUUUAUUUUUUUCCCAGUUUCUUUUGGAGCAAUGUGUUCCACAUAGGUGGGGCUGCUUGGGAGAUGAGCUUUUAUUAGUUGUGGUGUCAUUACUAUGAUAUACAGUAGUUUAUACAUUCCUUGUACUUCGGAAUUGAUAGCAAAGAAGGAUGCUGUUUGCAGGCCCCGAUUCUGAAUGCAGAUACUCUUUGUGCCAGUUGCUGACAGCUCUGGGUGCCUAAAUCCACAGCUGAGCUCUCUGUGGUGUCACCCUCAGCCUCAGGGAGCUGCUGCCUCUGAGGAGGCCACAUGACCACCCCACCCCCGCCGCGCCACUCAUAUCCAGGGACCUAUGGGUGUGGGUGUACAAAGGCCCAGCCUCCCUGCCUUGGUUUAAGAUAAGUUUGCAAGGCCGUCCUGGUUCCAGAACCUUCUGAAGACCUGGCUGAGGCCUCUGUUGUAGCUCUAUGGCUGCCGUCAUCCCCUCAAGGUGUUGUUCCAAGUGUUCCCAGCCCAGAGAGCCUUCUGCAGAUGAACAGUCAUGGGAGGGUAUUAGAGAUCAUCUACUCCAAGUGCCUCGUCGUCUAGAUGAUGUGCAGGAUGAAUUCCGCAGAGUCGUACCCUAAGGUAGGAGUGGCCAAGCUCCAUCUCUGUACUUCAGUCCUCUCUAUCCUGCCACACCCCCCCAGAACUCCUUUCACAUUCUUUCCACAUCAUCCAUGAACCCGGAGACUUUUCUUGACUCAAUACUUGGAGACCACAGUUAUUUUAACUUCACUGUGCUUCCAACCUCAAGUGGGUUUCUGGCAUUCCCAGUUCCUAAUUCAGUUAUGCAAUCGAGCAGCAUAAUUUCACCAACGUAAGUUAGCCUGGGUGAGAAAAUAUGUAGGCAUUUUUAUCCAUUUCAGGAUUUUUUAAAAAAAGGAAUAACUUGAUAAGACCCUUUUAGGAGCUCCAUUUGAACCCAACAUACUAAGACAAUGAUCAGGAAAUUUGUCUGGUCCUUUCGUGUAACGUUCUGCAUCAUGGGAAUUGUGGCAUUGCCCAUGGUGGGUUGAAGCCAUUUCUGAUCAAAAAGUAUGAGCAAGUUGGUUCACUCCCCAUAUACUUAGGCUCCAUCUAUAAUAAAUGAGUUAAUUAAAUACGUAGCAAACAAAUAUCUACUAUCAUGAGUGUUCAUCAUGGAAGGCGUCGGAUGAGCUUGAAUAAGAGUCUUAGCAUUUCUCAAGUAAGAUAAGAGCGGUAC